AUUGAACGCUGGCGGCAUGCCUUACACAUGCAAGUCGAACGGCAGCACGGGGCAACCUGGUGGCGAGUGGCGAACGGGUGAGUAAUGCAUCGGAACGUACCUUUCAGUGGGGGAUAACGUAGCGAAAGUUACGCUAAUACCGCAUAUUCUGUGAGCAGGAAAGCAGCGGAUCGCAAGACCUUGCGCCGAUUGAGCGGCCGAUGUCAGAUUAGCUAGUUGGUGAGGUAAAGGCUCACCAAGGCGACGAGCUGAGGCGGGUCUGAGAGGAUGAACCGCCACACUGGAACUGAGACACGGUCCAGACUCCUACGGGAGGCAGCAGUGGGGAAUUUUGGACAAUGGGGGCAACCCUGAUCCAGCCAUGCCGCGUGAUUGAAGAAGGCCUUCGGGUUGUAAAGCUCUUUCGGCCGGGAAGAAAUCGCACGGGCUAAUACCCUGUGUGGAUGACGGUACCGGAAUAAGAAGCACCGGCUAACUACGUGCCAGCAGCCGCCGUAAUAC
rnacentral:rRNA from 1 species